GAUGAACGCUGGCGGCGUGCUUAACACAUGCAAGUCGAACGGAAAGGCCAGUGCUUGCACUGGUACUCGAGUGGCGAACGGGUGAGUAACACGUGGGUGAUCUGCCCUGUACUUCGGGAUAAGCUUGGGAAACUGGGUCUAAUACCGGAUAGGACAACUUUUUGGAUAUUGUUGUGGAAAGCUUUUGCGGUAUGGGAUGAGCUCGCGGCCUAUCAGCUUGUUGGUGGGGUAAUGGCCUACCAAGGCGUCGACGGGUAGCCGGCCUGAGAGGGUGUACGGCCACAUUGGGACUGAGAUACGGCCCAGACUCCUACGGGGGGCAGCAGUGGGGAAUAUUGCACAAUGGGCGCAAGCCUGAUGCAGCGACGCCGCGUGGGGGAUGAAGGCCUUCGGGUUGUAAACUCCUUUCGCUAGGGACGAAGCUUUUUUGUGACGGUACCUGGAGAAGAAGCACCGGCUAACUACGUG
rnacentral:rRNA from 1 species